UACGGGGGGGGCAAGCGUUGUUCGGAAUUACUGGGCGUAAAGGGCUCGUAGGCGGCCAACUAAGUCAGACGUGAAAUCCCUCGGCUUAACCGGGGAACUGCGUCUGAUACUGGAUGGCUUGAGUGUGGGAGAGGGAUGCGGAAUUCCAGGUGUAGCGGUGAAAUGCGUAGAUAUCUGGAGGAACACCUAUGGCGAAGGCAGCUCGCUGGGACGGUACUGACGCUGAGGCGCGAAAGCGUGGGGAGCGAACAGG
rnacentral:rRNA from 1 species